GGUUUCCGAAAAAGCCAAUCAGCGGCACCGCGGUAUAAAGUUUCCGCACCCGCGUCCUGAGACUCACAUUUGUCCCCAGACCCCGAGGAUGGGGUCCCUGAUGCCAGGAACCUUCCUCCUGCUGCUGUCGGGGGCCCUGGCCGCGCCCCAGACCUGGGCGGGCUCCCACUCCCUGAGGUAUUUCUCCACCGCGGUGUCCCGGCCCGGCCGCGGGGAGCCCCGCUUCAUCGCCGUGGGCUACGUGGACGACACGCAGUUCGUGCGGUUCGACAGCGACGCCCCGAAUCCGAGGAUGGAGCCGCGGGCGACGUGGAUGGAGCAGGAGGAGCCCGAGUAUUGGGACGAGCAGACGCGGAACGUGAAGGACAACGCACAGCUUUUUCGAGUGAACCUGCAGACUGCGCUCCGCUACUACAACCAGAGCGGUUCCGGGUCGCACACCUUCCAGGAUAUGUUUGGCUGUGACGUGGGACCGGACGGCCGCUUCCUCCGCGGAUACAGACAAUGGGCCUACGACGGCAAGGAUUACAUCGCCCUGAACGAGGACCUGCGCUCCUGGACCGCGGCGGACACCGCGGCGCAGAUUACACGCCGCAAGUGGGAGGAUGCUGGUGUGGCGGAGCACUACAGGAACGACCUGAAGGGCAUGUGCGUGGAGUGGCUCCUCAAGUACCUGGAAAACGGGAAGGAGACACUGAGGCGCACAGAAUCUCCCCAAACACGGGUGUCCCGCCACCCCAUCUCUGACCGUGAGGUGACCCUGAGGUGCUGGGCCCUGGGCUUCUACCCUGCGGAGAUCACCCUGACCUGGCAGCGUGAUGGGCAGGACCACACCCAGGACGCAGAGCUUGUGGACACCAGACCUGCGGGAGAUGGAACCUUCCAGAAGUGGGCGGCUGUGGUGGUGCCUUCUGGAGAGGAGCAGAGAUACACGUGCCAUGUGCAGCACAAGGGGCUGCCCAAGACCAUCACCGUUGAUGGGAGCCAUCCUCUCUGCCCUCCAUCCCCAUCCUGGGCAUCAUUGCUGGUGUGGCUGUCCUUGUGGUCACUGUGGUGGUUGGAGCUGUGAUCUGGAGGAAGAAGUGCUCAGGAGGAAAAGGACCAAGCUACUCUUAUGCUGCACCUCCUGUGGCUCUGAUCAUGUCCUGUUUGUUCUACCCCAGGCGAUGACAGUACCCAGGGCUCUGAUUUGUCUCUAAUGGCUCCUAAAGUGUGAGACCCGCUGCCCCUCAGGGACUGUGCAAUACGGGAUCUGUUCACACUCCCUCUUGGUGACAUCGAGAUCCCCUGACUUUCUGCAGAUGGUCUCAGAAUGUGUCUGCGUUCCUAUUAGCAUAUUGUGAGGACACAGGAGACUGGCCCCCCCCUGCCCACCAUGACCCCUCCCCGUACUGAUUCGUGUUCCCUUUCUGACCUGCUUUCCUGUUUCAGCAGAGUCAGUGCUGGACCAUCUCCAUCCCCAUCUUUUUUUCAUGUUGAACUGAGUACUGAUGCCUUAUUUCCCUACUGAAAAUGAAUAUCCAGAUAUGAAUCUGUGCUUGUAAAUCUGGGUAUGUGGGGAUGAUGAGGUAAUAAAAGAGAAGAUUUGUAAAGUUGCAAGAUAAAAUAAAUGAAAGCCCUGAGAACCUCCCAGAA